GAUGAACGCUGGCGGCGUGCCUAAUACAUGCAAGUCGAGCGAACAGACGAGGAGCUUGCUCCUCUGACGUUAGCGGCGGACGGGUGAGUAACACGUGGAUAACCUACCUAUAAGACUGGGAUAACUUCGGGAAACCGGAGCUAAUACCGGAUAAUAUAUUGAACCGCAUGGUUCAAUAGUGAAAGACGGUUUUGCUGUCACUUAUAGAUGGAUCCGCGCCGCAUUAGCUAGUUGGUAAGGUAACGGCUUACCAAGGCAACGAUGCGUAGCCGACCUGAGAGGGCGAUCGGCCACACAGGAACUGAGACACGGUCCAGACUCCUACGGGAGGCAGCAGUAGGUAAUCUUCCGCAAUGGGCGAAAGCUUGACGGAGCAACGCCGCGUGAGUGAUGAAGGUCUUCGGAUCGUAAAACUCUGUUAUUAGGGAAGAACAAAUGUGUAAGUAACUAUGCACGUCUUGACGGUACCUAAUCAGAAAGCCACGGCUAACUACGU
rnacentral:rRNA from 1 species